UGGAAGGAGGCUGGACCGGAGGCGAGACUCUGAGCCCGCGUGAUUGGCUGCGAUCCUAGACGUUGAUGGGAUAGGGCGCCCGGGAGAACUGGGGAGAGGCGUUCGGGGUCGGGGCCGCGGGAAGGCGGGAGGCGCCCCGCCGCUUUCGGGGCCCGGCGCGGGGCACGCUGGGACGCCUCCGGGAAGGGGCGGAGCCGUGCGCGGGCUGCGGUUGGGGAAGCGCCGUCACCCGGAGGGGCGUGUUGGAGAAGGUUUCGCGGGCCCAAGCGGGGGAGGGGGGACCGUUAAAGCGCUGCACCGCGCCCACAGGAAGCUGCUUUAAUGGUUAGGCCUACUCGGUACCAGGCUCUCGGCUGGGAAGGACCUUGAAGACCAUGCGGUUCAACUUCCAAUUUGCAGAUGUGGAAACUGAAGCCCAGAGAGGUAGAGUCUGUGCACUCUGUGAUCACUGUAAGAAUGAAGGAUGAGCCCGCACUUCUUUCCACUCGUAAAGGCCACAGCAUUAGCUUCAUCCUACCACACCGCUUCACAUUCUUCCGACUUUCAAGAGCUCCACUGAUGGAAGAGGGAACUGACCCGUGAGGAAAGCAACAGUCAUCUCAUCCAUCCUCAUUCAUCUCAAAUAUGUUAAAUGUUUUGUACUUUUUCUUAUAAACUGUUUCUCUCCAUCAUCUUGUAUUCUAUGUUCUUGUCUUGAGACUUCUCCCAUUAAACCAUCAUUUAGUA